rnacentral:lncRNA from 1 species
AUGCCGUCGCCCAGGAGCCCGUAGCCGAGGCCUGCUGCCAGGAUCUGGGUGGUCAUGGCCACCCAGGUGACCACGCCGCUGUACUGCAGCUCUGUGACCUUGGCCAUGUCACUUAACUUCCCUCCGCUUCAAUGUCUUCAUCUACAAACCAGGAAUAAUAGUAUAUAUCACAAAAUGUAUCUAAGAUACAAAUGAGACACUGUGAAGUCCUUGGCACAGACUUAUAAAAGAAGUAGAACACACAUGCUUCCCAUUAGGUGAGAAAGAAACAUGCCUGAGAGUCUAAUGGAUUACUCAAGUCUGUGCUGCCAAGGAAGAACAGAAUCUUUAGAUAUCAUGUGUUUUACAAAUUGAAGUUUGUGGAAACCCUGCAUCAAACAAGUCUAUUGGUGACAUUUUCCCAACAGCAUUUGCUCACUUUGUGUUUCUGUGUCACAUGUUGAUAAUUCUUACAAUAUUUGAAACCUUUUUUAUUAUUAUACAUGUUCUGGUGAUCUGUGAUCAGUGAUCUUUGAUGUUACUACUGUAAUUUUUUUGGAUGCUGUGAACUGUGCCCAUAUAAA